rnacentral:rRNA from 1 species
GUACACGCUGUGACUAGCAUAUCAAUAAGCGGAGGAAAAGAAACUAACAAGGAUUCCCUUAGUAACGGCGAGUGAAGCGGGAAGAGCUCAAAUUUGAAAUCUUCAAGGUUUUACCUUGACGAAUUGUAGUUUGAAGAAGUGUUUUCUGCUGAAGUUUUGGUAAAAGUUCUUUGGAAUAGGACAUCAUAGAGGGUGAGAAUCCCGUAUUUGACCAUUAUUUUCAGCUUCGUGAUACACUUUCAAAGAGUCGGAUUGUUUGGGAAUGCAGUCCAAAAUGGGUGGUAAAUUUCAUCUAAGGCUAAAUAUUGGCGAGAGACCGAUAGCGAACAAGUACCGUGAGGGAAAGAUGAAAAGAACUUUGAAAAGAGAGUUAAAUAGUACGUGAAAUCGUCAAAAGGGAAGCGUUUGACACCAGUGUUGUUUUCUCGAAAAUCAAUUAAAAAUGGCUCGAUUUUGUAUUGCUUGAGACCUUAAAAGCUCACUGUACAUUUUUCGUGUCUUUUUUAAUGCACUUUUCGUUUAACAAGUCAACAUCAGUUUCUUUUGUUGUAAAAGGGUCAUUGGAAGGUGGCUUUCUUUUCGGAGAAAGUGUUUAUAGCCUUUGGCCUCUGCAAUCGGAAGAGACUGAGGUCUGCAGCGUAGACUCUUCGGGGUUAGAUACAUUUGUGCUAAGUUAUAGCUUUUUAUAGACAACUUGUUGACUAUAAUUAGUCUUGUAGCUUACUCGCUUAUGCUAUUUUACCUACGCUUAGGAUGUUGAGUAGCGACAUACGCAC